AUGAAUACUAAUUCAUGGGUUGCCAUAGACACGAGUGCUUUUCCUGAUCGACUCGUUUUUCUGAAUAUUUUCUUUUACUAGCUACUGCAGACAAUGGAGGUUUAAAGGUUAAGGAACAGUUUUAAGUGCAGCAUGCAUAUACAACUAGACCUAUAGUAUUUCACCAAGAACAAGAAAAAGUGGAUUUUAAAUGUUUUAAGUAAUAAUGCAUUCUAAAACACCCAGCACUCAAAGACAUGAAAGUUACUUUUGUACAAUAUACUAUGUAAAAAUUAUUUUUAGAACAUGUUUACAUCCUGUGUGUAUCAUUCUGUCUUCAGCCCCCCCUUCUCCCAGUGCUGUGUUCGUUAAGGUGAGUGAGGAGGUGGUUCUUCCCUGCUUUGGUCGUGUGGACUGGUUUAAAUCAGAAGCUGAGCUCGUCCAGUGGUUCAGAGGAGAUCAGCUGGUUCUGCAGUGGGAGAAGGGUUCUCUGUAUGUGGAUCAUCUGUUUACAGACAGAGUGUCACUGUCUAAAGAUAGAAUCCUGAAAGAUGACCUCUCUCUGGUUCUGAAGAACACCAUCCACGAAGACCAGGGCCUUUAUCACUGCUCAUUUGUGAAAAACCAAACCAUCACACCUGCUAUACAGACUAAUCUCACUGUGACAGACCACCAGACUCAUCUGAAGGUGGGGGCGGGUUCCUCAGUGCUCCUUCCCCUCCAUACAGCAUCUGCAGUGAAAGUGUGGUUCCUGCCUGAUGGAGGGAACGGUACUGUAAGUGUGUGUGAGGUGGAGGAAGACCAGCUGAAGUGUGAAGUUUCUUACACAGGCCGAACGGUUCUACGUAAACCCUCCCUGAAGCUGGAGAUCCGCUCCGUGGUGUAUUCUGGAACCUUCUCAGUGAUGGAGAGAGAAAGCCAUCAUACUGUUAAUGUCCUUUUCUUACAGGUGUUCCCUGCAGGUGACCCUGUGGUAAAUCCAAAAACAGUGGCGAUAACAUCAGUACUGGUAUUUCUGGCAGUUUGCCUGGGGAUAUGUGUGGCCAUUGUUGGGAUCAAAAAGAAGGGGUGGUAUAGACGGUAUAGACGGUAUAGACGGAGGCGGAGACGUCGCACUGUGGAGCGGGCAGAAGAAGCCCUUCACCAGAAGCACACUGAUACCACCAGCACUGAGGUGUCAAUCAGUAAAAAUGAACAGUCUGUCGAGAGCAUCAUAUAAACAACCAAUAGUCUAGUGCCUAUUUCUUUAUACACUGCUCUGAUUCUGUCUAAACUGCAGUUCCUGGAGUGGAGGAAUGUAAAUAUUGUAGAAUGAUUAACAAGAAUAGUUCCUUUUUACUCUUUUAUGUAGUCGUGUAGUUCUGUGUCAUUGUUGGUUUUUGUGGAUCUUUACUUUGUAAAGGAAAAAUCUUUUUUCAAAAAAAAGUUACUGUAGAUUAGAUGUCACAAGUUUUUGAUUCGUUUGACGCCCCUGCUGUAGAAACGUAAACUUUUAUUUCUGCUGUAAACUAAAGAUAAUCAGCUUUUUUUACAGUAAUACACCAUAGCAUUAGCAUCAGUGCGAGGGGAAGAUAUAUUAAGUGGAGAUACAGUUUAUGAAGCAAUACUGAACAGUCUGUGCGGUGUUCCUGGUAUGCAGUGGUCAGUACUCACAAAAAAUAUGUUCCAAGGAAGCACAAUCAGUAAACCAGCAACAGGGUCAUGGCUAAACCACCCAAGGCUAAGUGAUUUUUAUCAAGCCUCUGCCCGUCUCACAAGUUACGGGACUUGGAUUAAAGGAUCUGCUAUCUUUGUACCAUAUGCCAAUAUUUUUGUAUUAUUUAAUAUUAUUGUUUAUUUGUAUUAAAUAAAAUGUGAUUUUUAAAUUUUAUU
rnacentral:lncRNA from 1 species